GAUGAACGCUGGCGGCGUGCCUAAUACAUGCAAGUCGAGCGAACAGACGAGGAGCUUGCUCCUCUGACGUUAGCGGCGGACGGGUGAGUAACACGUGGAUAACCUACCUAUAAGACUGGGAUAACUUCGGGAAACCGGAGCUAAUACCGGAUAAUAUAUUGAACCGCAUGGUUCAAUAGUGAAAGACGGUUUUGCUGUCACUUAUAGAUGGAUCCGCGCCGCAUUAGCUAGUUGGUAAGGUAACGGCUUACCAAGGCAACGAUGCGUAGCCGACCUGAGAGGGUGAUCGACCACACUGGAACUGAGACACGGUCCAGACUCCUACGGGAGGCAGCAGUAGGGAAUCUUCCGCAAUGGGCGAAAGCUUGACGGAGCAACGCCGCGUGAGUGAUGAAGGUCUUCGGAUCGUAAAACUCUGUUAUUAGGGAAGAACAAAUGUGUAAGUAACUAUGCACGUCUUGACGGUACCCAAUCAGAAAGCCACGGCUAACUACGUG
rnacentral:rRNA from 1 species